UUUGUUUUAUGGACUUUUGGCUAAGAUCAAGAGUAGUAUCUGUUCUUAUCAGGUUAAUGUCUGAUACGUCCCUUAUCUGGGGACUAUAUGUAUCUUUUCUUAUAUUGUGGGAUAUUGUACUUGCCAUGAGAUACAGUCAGCCCUCCUUAUCCGCGAGUUUCGCAUGUGCGAAUUCAACCAAU